rnacentral:lncRNA from 1 species
UUCAGAAACCGUACAACUCCCGAAGGAGCGGGCGGGCAAGCCACACCCAAAGCAAGACUAAAGCGAUAACAAUACAAAUCCAAGUUGCAGUCCAGUCGGACUCCGGGCUGCAAUCGGAACUAAGCGUCAGCGGAAGCAUCCUGCAAAAGGGCCAACACCGCAGGCAGCGUUGGGUGCAGACGCAACCUCCUACUCGAAGUCCUCGGCGACGAAGUCC